rnacentral:lncRNA from 1 species
CUCAUAACCACGGUCAGCGAUUUUUCCCACCAACAGGAGGUUAGUUCGAAGGUCAGGGACAUGCAGUGUAUUGUUAAGCAUGAUGUUCCUCAACACUCUCAGUAUGUUAGUCCUAAAUUUUGCUGUCCUCUACCAAUCACUUUGGUCGAUGCAUUGUUGGCAAAAUUUAAGAUGCAUCGUUCAGAUCCAAGGAUUUUCUGAAAAUCUUGUAAGUUGUUACACAAAUGCGAAGUUGUGCUACUGUCAAGACACCAGCUUCGAUGGGAGCAGAUCAAACGAGACCUGGGAAUGUCAAGCGUGCUCAGACAGAUGUCUUCUGUGUAUUUAGUAGUUUGUCUCUUAUUCCCGCUCCAGCAUUCCAAUGCCUUAUGGCUCUGUUUUUGCACUUGAAGCAAUGAAGCUUGAAAUAAUUUCUUCUUUUAGACAAUCCAGACUUGUCGUGUGUGGUGAUAUCUAGUCUCUC